rnacentral:rRNA from 1 species
AACGAACGCUGGCGGCAUGCCUAACACAUGCAAGUCGAACGAGACCUUCGGGUCUAGUGGCGCACGGGUGCGUAACGCGUGGGAAUCUGCCCUUGGGUUCGGAAUAACAGUGAGAAAUUACUGCUAAUACCGGAUGAUGUCUUCGGACCAAAGAUUUAUCGCCCAGGGAUGAGCCCGCGUAGGAUUAGCUAGUUGGUGGGGUAAUGGCCUACCAAGGCGACGAUCCUUAGCUGGUCUGAGAGGAUGAUCAGCCACACUGGGACUGAGACACGGCCCAGACUCCUACGGGAGGCAGCAGUGGCGAAUAUUGGACAAUGGGCGCAAGCCUGAUCCAGCAAUGCCGCGUGAGUGAUGAAGGCCUUAGGGUUGUAAAGCUCUUUUACCCGGGAUGAUAAUGACAGUACCGGGAGAAUAAGCUCCGGCUAACUCCGUG